AGUGAACGCUGGCGGCGUGCUUAACACAUGCAAGUCGAACGAGAACGGGUUAUAGCUUGCUAUAAUUGUCAGCUAAGUGGCGCACGGGUGAGUAAUGUAUAGGUAAUAUGCCUCUUACUAAGGGAUAACAAAUGGAAACGUUUGCUAAUACCUUAUACUCCUUAUUAACAUAAGUUAAUAAGGGAAAGAUUUAUUGGUAAGAGAUUAGCCUGUAUUGUAUCAGUUAGUUGGUGGGGUAAUGGCUUACCAAGACUAUGACACAUAACUGGUUUGAGAGGAUGAUCAGUCACACUGGACCUGAGACACGGUCCAGACUCCUACGGGAGGCAGCAGUGGGGAAUAUUGCACAAUGGACGAAAGUCUGAUGCAGCAACGCCGCGUGGAGGAUGACACAUUUCGGUGCGUAAACUCCUUUUAUAUGAGAAGAUAAUGACGGUAUUAUAUGAAUAAGUACCGGCUAACUCCGUGCCAGCCGCCGCAGUAA
rnacentral:rRNA from 1 species